AAUAUAAUUGCUAGCAUUAUUGCUAGAUAUGGCAAUAAACUUUAUUCGAAAUAGAAGUUGCGGACUCGGGGGCGGAACCCGGCACCUCCACCAUUGACGGGGGUGAGUUAGCUUCGACGUGGCUUAAUAAAGGUCUAAUUUUGCUCGGGAUGAUUCUCCGUAUGAUGGAUCAUAAAAGUAAAUGCAAACUCAUUUGCAAAAAAUCGUCAAUCUUAUGAUUACGGUUAUGCUGCUGCGGCUUAGUUCCGCACGCUAGCAGGCGGUUUGGGGUUUUCCGGGCAACAGAAAAGCCCCUUAUCAUGUUUUGCGGAAUGUUUCAAUAACACUUCUAACU
rnacentral:tmRNA from 1 species